rnacentral:rRNA from 1 species
UACGUAGGGUGCAAGCGUUUUCCGGAUUUAUUGGGUUUAAAGGGUGCGUAGGUGGCUGAUUAAGUCAUGGGUGAAAGCCCGCAGCUCAACUGUGGAAUUGCCUGUGAUACUGAUUAGCUUGAGUGCGGUUGAGGCAGCUGGAAUUGGUGGUGUAGCGGUGAAAUGCAUAGAUACCACCAGGAACGCCGAUUGCGAAGGCAGGUUGCUAAGCCGUAACUGACGCUGAGGCACGAAAGCGUGGGGAGCAAACAGG